UCGAAAUCAAACAUGCUGCUACGAAGAUGAAACUCUAAUAUCAAACUUUACUGAGACAAUCGAGGAAUGCAGGAAUGUCACAUUAGAGACAAAUGAAACUUCAUUUAUCAACGGUACCAAACUAGACGGCCUUUCCUGUCUGGCUGAAAGGAUACCAAGCAAUAACAUAACAUUCCAGGAUUGCAGGACUCUCGGAAUAAGGGACCAAACACAAUUCUGCAAUAAUGCCACAUGUCUAACGUAUUUCUCAUCAGCCUACGAAUACUGUGACCUAUGCAAUCCAUUUAAGUUAGCAUGCACUGAAACAAACCGAAACUGUUACAAUUGGAGGUAUGAUAACUUGACAUGCUUGUUUAAGGAAGCUGCUAGGGAUUGCUUGAAAGAGUGCCAAAGAAAAAGAUUAGAGGAAGGUAUCGGAGCGUACUGUCUGGAUAAGAGCUGCUAUUUUGUUGAGGAAGCCUACAACAAGUGCGGGUUUGCUUGGUAUGGGUGUAAUCCUGUUCGAGAAACUUGCAAUAAGCAUUUCAAAUCUAGUUCUGUGCUGCGUCAACAAUGCAGCAGUGGAGGAAAACCAGUCACUACAAUAACAGCUGUUAUGAUUCUGGUCAUUUGCUCCGUGCUCAUGAUUUAAGGAUAUGCAUGCCCAAAAUUUGGAAGAACAGUUCAAAAUUACUGUAACAAUAAAAUAUCUUAGCAUUGUGCAUGCAUAAAGAACUAUAGUAUAGACAAUUUAGUCGUUGGCAUACAUAUUUUAAUUACAUAUUUGUACUUUGCUGAACGGGGAGCAUUAAUUUCAUAGUUGAAUGCCUAUAUAUACAAGUUUCCAGGAAGUGCACCAAGUCUUUAUAAUAGUUAGUAAGAAGUUUCUAUGAUUUAGAAGCCCAAAGGGCUGUUUGUAGUAUCCCAGACAUAGUGAGGGUUCUAGCAAUAAAAUAGUUGAUCUCAGAUCCGGAGAUACUAUAGAGCAACAACACACAGUUCCUGAGUCGUAUACAUAGUGAUAGUGAAAUAGUCAGCAACAACUGGAAGUUUCUGGCUCAUUGCUUCGAGUGACUAUGCUACUCACUUUCUAGUGUCACUGAGAUUGUUAGCAUCAUUUCCUACUAUAGGCUAUGAUAAAACAGUAACUUAUGCUACCCUCAAAAGCAGUACAAAUUAGUCAUACAAGAUCACUAAUUAUAGUAUCAGCAAACUAAACCCUUAAUUAAGCUAUAUAUAGCUAUAUAUAGAAGUUGCAUCAUCAGUGUUUCCGGACAUGACAAGUAAUGAAGGGUAUAUAUACUAUCAUUGAUAUCCUAGACACACUACUACCUCUGGCUAACAAU